CUAGCAGAGCUGCUUCUUAUGGAGGAAGAGAUUAAAUUUUCAAAUGAGGAAGGCCUUGUUUCACUGCGCCUGGAAAUUGCAAAAAGGCUUUUAAGAGAAACUGAUGACCUUUCACAGCUCUGUCGUUCAUGUGGAGAGCAUCAUAGGGACAAAGGCCAAACUGUGCAAUGGAUUGAAUGUACAGAAUGUGGAAGGUGGUACCAUUGGGACUGUGUGGGUAGACCUUCCACUGUUGGCAAAUACAGCUGCCCUGCGUGCUUAUAGUGUUUUUGUCCUGCCUUUUUUCACCUGUUUUUACUGCUGUUAUUUUUUUACAAUGUUUGUUAACUAAUUGCUAAUAAAUGCUGUGGGUUAUUCACUGGAUCCUACCUGUAUGUCUUUUAAUUAUAAAAUUAUAUUUGCAUAGCUAUAGCUCAU